UACAGAGGUCUCAAGCGUUGUUCGGAUUCAUUGGGCGUAAAGGGUGUGUAGGUGGCGCCGUAAGUCGGGUGUGAAAUUUCGGAGCUUAACUCCGAAACUGCAUUCGAUACUGCGGUGCUUGAGGACUGGAGAGGAGACUGGAAUUCAUGGUGUAGCAGUGAAAUGCGUAGAUAUCUGGAGGAACACCGGUGGCGAAGGCGGCAUCCUGGACCAAUUCUGACGCUGAGGAGCGAAAGCCAGGGGAGCAAACGGG
rnacentral:rRNA from 1 species